rnacentral:rRNA from 1 species
AUGAACGCUAGCUACAGGCUUAACACAUGCAAGUCGAGGGGCAGCAUGAACUUAGCUUGCUAAGUUUGAUGGCGACCGGCGCACGGGUGAGUAACACGUAUCCAACCUGCCGAUGACUCGGGGAUAGCCUUUCGAAAGAAAGAUUAAUACCCGAUGGCAUAGUUCUUCCGCAUGGUAGAACUAUUAAAGAAUUUCGGUCAUCGAUGGGGAUGCGUUCCAUUAGGUUGUUGGCGGGGUAACGGCCCACCAAGCCUUCGAUGGAUAGGGGUUCUGAGAGGAAGGUCCCCCACAUUGGAACUGAGACACGGUCCAAACUCCUACGGGAGGCAGCAGUGAGGAAUAUUGGUCAAUGGACGAGAGUCUGAACCAGCCAAGUAGCGUGAAGGAUGACUGCCCUAUGGGUUGUAAACUUCUUUUAUACGGGAAUAAAGUGAGGCACGUGUGCCUUUUUGUAUGUACCGUAUGAAUAAGGAUCGGCUAACUCCGUGCCAGCAGCCGCGGUAAUACGGAGGAUCCGAGCGUUAUCCGGAUUUAUUGGGUUUAAAGGGAGCGUAGGCGGACGCUUAAGUCAGUUGUGAAAGUUUGCGGCUCAACCGUAAAAUUGCAGUUGAUACUGGGUGUCUUGAGUACAGUAGAGGCAGGCGGAAUUCGUGGUGUAGCGGUGAAAUGCUUAGAUAUCACGAAGAACUCCGAUUGCGAAGGCAGCUUGCUGGACUGUAACUGACGCUGAUGCUCGAAAGUGUGGGUAUCAAACAGGAUUAGAUACCCUGGUAGUCCACACAGUAAACGAUGAAUACUCGCUGUUUGCGAUAUACAGUAAGCGGCCAAGCGAAAGCGUUAAGUAUUCCACCUGGGGAGUACGCCGGCAACGGUGAAACUCAAAGGAAUUGACGGGGGCCCGCACAAGCGGUGGAGUAUGUGGUUUAAUUCGACGCAACGCGAAGAACCUUACCAAGGCUUGACAUAUACAGGAAUAUGUUAGAAAUAGCAUAGCUCUUCGGAGCUUGUAUACAGGUGGUGCAUGGUUGUCGUCAGCUCGUGUCGUGAGAUGUUAGGUUAAGUCCUGCAACGAGCGCAACCCCUGUGAUUAGUUGCCAACAGGUUAAGCUGGGAACUCUAAUCAGACUGCCGGUGAUAAAUCGGAGGAAGGUGGGGAUGACGUCAAAUCAUCAUGCCCUUUAUGUCUUGGGCUACACACGUACUACAAUGGCUGUAACAGAGAGAAGCAACACCGCGAGGUAGAGCGAAACUCCAAAAGCAGUCUCAGUUCGGAUUGAAGGCUGAAAUUCGCCUUCAUGAAGCCGGAAUUGCUAGUAAUGGCAGGUCAGCAUACUGCCGUGAAUACGUUCCCGGGCCUUGUACACACCGCCCGUCACACCAUGGGAGCCGGUAAUACCCGAAGUCAGUAGUCUAACCGCAAGGAGGACGCUGCCGAAGGUAGGAUUGGCGACUGGGGUG